UUCUUUAACAAGGGAGCCUCAACUUUCCUGCGUAUAUUCCACUCUCGGGAAGGCUUAAGUCGAAGGGGUUCCAUCGAAAAUGUCUUGUUUAACGAGACGAAAACCUAACCAGAUCUUCUAACAUCGGAAAAUACAAAUAACUUUAUUAGGGUUUCUCAGAGAAUGCACAGUAGUUUGAGGGUUUCAGAGAACAGAGGAUGAUGUUUAAAUAGAAACAGAAGUUCUGUUUUGAUUGCGUGUGCGCAGAGCGUUUGAUAAUUUCGCUUUCCAGGUGAGAAUGAAGAGAUGCUGGUGAGGCUGAAGAUAUUUAAUGAUGGUGGCAGCCUUAGACGUGCUAUAGAAUGGCAUUGCAUAUUAAAUUUUGGUUGAACAUUAAUGGUUUUAUUUUUCUUUAAAUUUUUUUUAGGUAUAUCAUUCUCCGAGAACUAUGAAUUAACUGCAAUAGUUAUAAAUAUAUAUUUUCUAGCAUGGGAGUUGUGUUAUAUUGACAUAGGUUUGUUUCCAGCUUGCGAAGAGUUGUGUUAUAUUGACAUAGGUUUGUUUCCAGCUUGCGAACUGUACUACUCUGCACAUCAAUUGGUUGAAUUGCUACAGUUGAGCUUGUUUUCUAACGAGAGAUACUUUCAGGAAUGCUUUGUAUGUUUGGAAGAGUACUUAGUACGUUGUAUGAUUUAUCAAACCAGGUUUGUUUGAAUAUCCAUUAAAUUGUUAUGAUUUGUGUUCUCUCUAGAUUUGGUUUAUCUAGAAUAAAUUAUUUGCUAUCACUCUCUGCCUGCAUGGUGAUGAGAAAUGAUAAAAUAGUUUUACAUCUCACGGCAGAUUGUGGCUGCUCCUGUAAGUGUCUGAUCUCUAAUCUGGGCUUUUCCUAACAGAGAGUGGUCCAUGAAGCAAGAGGUAACAGAGGAUGAAUAUGGAGAGAAGGCACAUGGAAAAUCCAGAACAUCCUAUUUGUUUGAAAAAGCAAGAGAAUAACAAAGGUAACAGAAGAUUGCCAUGAACGCCACUCCUUCAUAACAUUCAGACAAAAUAAAUAACUCUCUGUGAGAAGCUGAAUUUGACAAAUGCAUCUAAAGGAGAACCUUUCCUCAAUUGCUUCAGGCCUUUUCUGACACUGAUGAACAGCAGUUGUAUUGCUCCCCUGUGAAACAAACAUAAAGAUUGCAUAAAUUUUGUUUUUUCAGAAAAAGUGUGUAUUCUAAACACUGCAAAAACUGAGAAAAUAUGAAUUUCUGUAUAUGAUAUUAGAAUGAGUACAAGCGAGGGAUCAGUGGCUGGAACUUAAAUCUAGAGGACAUAAAAGCUCAAGCUGCUGUUAAAACGUAGUUGAGAGUCUGGAGUAAUUCAUGUUUGCUUUCACUGUAUAGAUAUAUGUAAGUACGGAAAAGAUACUUUUUGUGAUA